rnacentral:rRNA from 1 species
AAACCGCUUAGGGGUUAAGCCCGAUGAACCUGAAUAUCUGAAUUGAGAAAUUCAAUACUAUUUCAGUAAUUUAUCUAAACAAUAAAUGAACGAUGGUAUGCACUUUUCUCAUAGUAAGACAUUGCGAUCCAUUAGUAUAUCUUUUAUGGAUGGUUUAUCAAACGGCCCGUUUGGUCAGUUUAUUCUAUCUGUGGCACUAGCUGUCAUAUGAAUAAUGCCGAUGCGGUGACCUGGUAAACAGCUGAUGGAGCUUAAAAAUCAUGCAGCCAUGCAUUAUGUAUCACGGUUUGAGUAUUUUUAAUAUUCGAAUGCAGUGAUCGCAUGUAUUUGAUUAGCAAUGCGAUAGAUUUGGGAUACCUUCGGGACCCGUCUUGUAACACGGACCAAGAAGUCUAACAUGUGUGUAAGUCAUUGGGUAUUUUGUUGAAACCUAAAGGCGCAAUUAAAAUAACUAUUAUUAUGGGAUUACAAGUGAAUUAAUAUUUCACUUCUCCAUCCCGGGGCGUUCUAUACGAACAUGGUUUAAGCAAUUAGAUCCUCUGUUCAAGAGCGUACCUUGAACAUACAUGCUGUGACCCGAAAGAUGGUGAACUAUACCUGAUCAGGUUGAAGUCAGGGGAAACCCUGAUGGAGGACUGAAGCAGUUCUGACGUGCAAAUCGAUUGUCAGAAUUGGGUAUAGGGGCGAAAGACCAAUCGAACCAUCUAGUAGCUGGUUCCCUCCGAAGUUUCCCUCAGGAUAGCUGGUGCAAUGAAAAAUCUAAUAUAUAAUCUUAUCUGGUAAAGCGAAUGAUUAGAGGCCUUGGGGCCGAAACGACCUCAACCUAUUCUCAAACUUUAAAUGGGUAAGAACCUCAUCUUUCUUGAUCUGAAGAUAUUGGGGUUUAGAUAUAUUGUGCCCAGUGGGCCACUUUUGGUAAGCAGAACUGGCGCUGUGGGAUGAACCAAACGUGAUGUUACGGCGCCUAAAUUAAUGACUCAUAUUGAUACCAUGAAAGGCGUUGGUUGCUUAAAACAGCAGGACGGUGGACAUGGAAGUCGUAAUCCGCUAAGGAGUGUGUAACAACUCACCUGCCGAAGCAACUAGCCCUUAAAAUGGAUGGCGCUCAAGUCAUAUGCCUAUACAUCACCGCUAGAAUAAAAAGGUUUUAGUUUUCGAAUUAAAAUUUGUAAAAUUCUAGUGAGUAGGAGGGUACAAUGGUGUGCGCAGAAGUGUUUGGCGUAAGCCUGCAUGGAGCCGCCAUUGGCACAGAUCUUGGUGGUAGUAGCAAAUAAUCGAAUGAGAUCUUGGAGGACUGAAGUGGAGAAGGGUUUCGUGUGAACAGUGGUUGAUCACGAGUUAGUCGGUCCUAAGCUCUAUGCGAAAGCUGUUUAAUUUAUGUU